CACUAAAAAGUGAAAAAUCUUUGUAUCAGACCAUACUGUUUGCAAAAAAAGUUGAAUGCAAGAGUCUUUUUGUGCUCCGAUUUAUUGUAUCAUGUCACCUGAGUAUAGAAAUGAUAGAAAAGACACAAAAUUUUAUUUCAUAUAGCUUCAAUAUGCAUUUUUAAAUGUAAAUAUGUGAUACGGCCUAAAUUGACCCUAAAUUAUUUUCAGUCUUACUUGGCCUAAGACCCUUUUAAACUAAUGUGAUAUGUUAUUUGUAAGUUUUCUUUCCAUUUAAAGUACAUUAAAUACAUAUGUAAGGAUUAUUUAUAACCAAAAAGCUUUACAAAUUUAAAAUUGCUGGAAAAUAUUACAUCUUCAUGUAAGGCCCCCCUUCAUUGGAAAACCUCCAUUUUUAGCCACAGGCUCAUAUAAAUUUGACUUUUUAAUAAUUAUGAUAAGUCUGAUAAAUCAAAUGAGUACUCUAUUGCUUUUAAUACAUAAUAUAUUAUAUAUUAAGGCAUUUCAAAAGUAUUUUUUUGCAAUAUUUAAAUUUUUUAAGCCCCAAAUGUUGAUAGUUGAAAAUUUUCAAUUUUAACAUCUAAAUUUAACACUCAAAGUUGAAUAUAGAAUUAGUCAUAUUGUCUAUAAUAUAUAUCCUAUUGCCAUGAAACUUUGUAAGCAGUCUUAUAAUUUAAUAAGCUUUGGUCAUACCAAGUUUCAUUAAGAUUGGUCAACUUUUUCUACCCUAUUAGGUCCGGGUACACAGUUAUCGUCCUUUGAUUUUCGUUGUCCACGAAUAUAGUCCCUAGUGUGGACAGUGUGUUACUUGUCGAUUUUUUUUAUACCCCUUCCGAAUUUAUUUCUCCAUGUUUUAUGACUCAAAUAGUAAGUAGGGGG